rfam:Turicibacter sanguinis PC909 contig00084, whole genome shotgun sequence.
UUAAAACGUAGAGGUUGCGAAGGCUUAAGAGUACUAAUAACGAGGUAAGCGCGAUGACUUAUUGGGAAAGGAAGAUUCGCCGAAGAGAUUAACUGACGCUUUAAGGUUAAUUCUCUGGGGGUGCAUAAAAGAUAUGCAUCACUGUCACAAAAAUCACUUUGUGGUGUGCUACAUUUGAG